CUAAGGUGAUGAAAAAAUGGUUUCCUUACAUUCGCAGUUUCCACGAGAGGUAUACGCUCUUUACGAACCUAAUUAGUAUGCCAUAUGAACGGUAGAUAAUUUAMGUCUUCCUAGGAUGUCUGAUUAG
rnacentral:snoRNA from 1 species